rnacentral:rRNA from 1 species
CCCUUAGAUGUUCUGGGCCGCACGCGCGCUACACUGACGGAGGCAGCGAGCGUGUCCUUCGCCGGCAGGUGCGGGCAAUCUUGCGAGUCUCCGUCGUGCUGGGGAUAGAUGGUUGCAAUUGUCGAUCUUGAACGAGGAAUUCCUAGUAAGCGCGAGUCAUCAACUCGCGCUGAUUACGUCCCUGCCCUUUGUACACACCGCCCGUCGCUACUACAGAGUGCCCGUGUCCAAGAAACGGUCGGACCUGUGCGGCCUCUCCGGGCGACCGGAGGGCCGUUACGGGGAAGACCCUUUAUUUGACGCGGGUCGAUGAAGUAAAAGUCGUAACA